UACGUAGGGGGCAAGCGUUGUCCGGAUUUAUUGGGCGUAAAGAGCGUGUAGGCGGUUAGGUAGGUCCGUUGUGAAAACUCGAGGCUCAACCUCGAGACGCCGAUGGAAACCAUCUGACUAGAGUCCGGAAGAGGAGAGUGGAAUUCCUGGUGUAGCGGUGAAAUGCGCAGAUAUCAGGAAGAACACCCGUGGCGAAGGCGGUUCUCUGGGACGGUACUGACGCUGAGACGCGAAAGCGUGGGGAGCGAACAGG
rnacentral:rRNA from 1 species